rnacentral:rRNA from 1 species
GAUGAACGCUGGCGGCAGGCCUAACACAUGCAAGUCGAGCGAGCGGCGGACGGGUGAGUAAUGUAUGGGGAUCUGCCUGAUAGAGGGGGAUAACUCCUGGAAACGGUGGCUAAUACCGCAUACUAUCGGAUGCACCCAUAUGGGAUUAGCUAGUCGGUGUGGUAACGGCUCACCUAGGCGACGAUCUAUAGCUGGUCUGCGAGGAUGAUCAGCCACACGGGCACUGAGAAACGGCCCAGACGCCUACGUGAGGCAGGAGUGGGGAAUAUUGCACAAUGGGCGCAAGCCUGAUGCAGCCAUGCCGCGUGUAUGAAGAAGGCCUUAGGGUUGUAAAGUACUUUCAGCGGGGAGGCGUUACCCGCAGAAGAAGCACCGGCUAACUCCGUGCCAGCAGCCGCGGGAAUUC